UUGAGGCCCAAGCCUUUGCCGAAAAUCCUAAGCCUUUUCCCAUCAGAAUUUGUCAAAACCCUAGGCUAUAAAUAUGUGUUUUUAGCCAAAAUUUCAUCCACCACCCCCUACCAUUCAGAAACACAUCUUGCAGCACCAUCUACACCAUUCUACAACCCUUUUCUGCAACUUUGGAGAAGGAGGACCUUGUGCACAAGCCACCUGCAACCAUUGAAGUUCUAAGAGUUCUUCUUCCCUCGUUUUAGUUUCAAUGUUUAUUUCAAUUUGCUUUUCAAUUGCUAUGAACAUGUGUAACUAAGUUCUUAUUAGUUAGUGGUGAAUUCGAAGCCAUGGACAUAUGUUUAAUAUGAAUUGAUUCCUUUCAGUUAUUGUUUCGUAGAACAUGGAUGUGAUUUACUUAUCUAUUUGAUUGAUAACUUAUUCUUGUGUGUUGAUUGAGGAUGCAUACUUAAUUUGCAUGCAUGAAUCUGAUGCUAAAUUGUAAGGGACUUUCACCUAAUCGUUAGGAACUUAUAAUUACAAGUAGUGGAGAUUGUUAGUCACAAUCGUGUUAAGUAGAUUCUUGGCAAGAGUGUCAUACAGUUUAUAGUUAUAAUUGCCUUGUCAAUGCUUAUGAUUUCUAUGGAACUUAAUGAUCUUUGAAUGUAUCUCUAUCAUGUUGUUCAUAUAGGGAACUUGAUGAGAAUAAUUUGGUUGCGAUGCGUUGUCCAUUCAAUUCAAUGAAUUUAGGGAAAUCUGAUAGUUAAUUUGUGCAUUCACGAUUAAUUUGGGGCAUUGUCGUUCAUGGUCUAAAGAAACAAUACUGGAAAUCGAUUUAUGUUGCAUAUGUUCAUGUGUGGAGAAGGAUCCUCUAACUAGCUUUUCACCAUUCAAUUCACCCAAUUUCAUAUUUAGUUUGCUUUAGUUUAAUCAAAUUCGUCCAAAUCAUCCCCCCUUUCAAUUAAGUGUCUUAGAUUAGUUAAAAAGGUGUUUCAAUCUGUCCAAAUUAGUGUUUUGAGUCUCACUAGUGUUAAAUUCGUCCAAAUAGUCCUUAGAACCUGUUUUGAGUCUUUUUAAGUUAGUUUUGCUGAUUUGAGUGUUUUAGGUCAGUUUAGAGUCUAUAGAGUCUAGUCUUGUGUUUUUAAGUCUAGUUUAGUGUUUUAGAGUUUAAUUUGUGUAGAUUAGCAGCCCUAGUUAAUCCCCGGUUUAGAACGAUCCCUACUUGCUUAAUACUACAAUUACAUAUUCAAUAGGGUUUAAUUUGUGUGUCAAGUUAAUUUUCACAUCAAACAAGAGCUUUGAAACGUUCGUAGUACGCUGGAAAGGAUUCUCCAUGAUUUUGUUGAAUGCCAUUAAUCCGCUUCCUCAAAAGAAUGAUUCUUGAUGUGGGGAAGAACUUCUUUAAAAAAGCUCUUUUCAUGCUCUCCCAAGAUGUGAUAGUUCCGGGAGCUAAUUCGUACAACCAAUCCUUAGCCUUGUCCAUGAGAGUGAAUGGAAAAGCUUUCAUCUUCAAUAUGCUUCCAUCAACGUUAACUGGAGUCAUGCUUGAGCAAACCACUUCAAAUUCUUUCAAGUGCUUGUUGGGAUCCUCCAUGGACAACCCAUGGUACUUUGGAAUGUGAUGUAGCAAACUCGACUUCAAUUCAAACUCCUCAAUCUUCCCUUGACCUGCCGUGGGCUAUUGGAUACACAGGGGCAUGGCAUUGUCCAAUCCCGAAGCGGAAAGUUCCUUGAUUGUUCGAUUGUCCGUUGCCAUAACUUAUGCUUCCUCAAAAACCCUUGUCGUGGCCUCAUCUUCUUCAAACACUUCUUCUUCUUCAAGCAUGGGGUCAGGGCUAGGUGGAUUAGAUUCUUGCUGAGUCCUCUUCCUUCUCAAAGUCCGCUCGAAAUCGUCGUCAAAGUCAAAGAUAUGCUCACGAACCGGUUGAGAACUCCGAUUCAUAAACUAGUACCUAAAAACAAGAAAACAACUAAGGUCAGCAACUAAAAACAAAAACACACGAAAAUAAAUAAAUAAAAUAACAAGGGAUUAGCAAAGUUGCUAAGCCCCGGCAACAGCGCCAAAAUUUCAUGCGAAAAUUAACUUAACACACAAAUUAAACCCUCUUGUUGACAAUUGUAGUAUGGAUAAGUAGGGAUCGUUCCAAACUGGGGAUUAGGAAGGAUUGCUAAUCUACUCUAAACUGACUCAAAAACAUAAAUAUACUUAACUAGACUAAAAGAACUCAAAACAAACUGAAAAGACUCAAAAGUAACUAGAAUGACUCAAAACAGCUUAAAAACCCAAACUAAGACAGAUUCUAACUAAUUUAACACUCUAAAGUAAAGGGGAUUGGGUUUUGGACGAAUUUAAAGUAAACACAAGUAACUAAAGACUUAAAACAGAUUUUAGACGAAUUGGGUGAUUUGAAUGCAUGAUGGGCUAGCUAGAGGGUCAUUCUCCACACAUGACACACUUGCAUACAAAUCAAUCUCUAGUUACUUUUUCUAUAAACUAUGAAUGACAAUGCCCCAGAUUAACCAUGCCAUCACUGAUAGGAGCAUAUUUAUGCGACUUAGUUAGCUUGUUUUGUUGCAUGUUCAUAGUUUGUUUGUGUUUAUUAUAGUGUUUUAAGCUAUUUUCGUGUGUUUGUAGGUCCAUAUGACAAAGUUGGCAAGAAAGUGCAAUUUGGAGCAUUUUGUGGCAGUUUUGGGCACCAAAUGGAUAGCUUAUGAAUGGAGCAAGAUGGAUGGACGAAUUUGAAGUUCAUGAGGCUAGGAAUGUGCUGAAAAGAGUGAAGAAUUAAAUCCAAGUCAAGGAAGAUAAGAAAUCAGCUCAAAAGAAGGAACAUUAUCCAAAACCUUAUCCAACCUUAUCUUAUCUUAUCCUUGCCUAACCUAACCUUAUCUUAUCCUAUCUUUUCCAAAUCAAUUUGUGCCUUAAUUCCAGCUAUUUGUAAGGGAUAAUUAUGCAUUUAAACUAUAUAUUUCAGAUUCUAGAACCUUUAUCCUUCUAGAAUUGGUGCUAAAACAUCUUUUCUAGAAGCACCUAAAAAUCUGGCGCCUAGACCCUUUCUAGAAGCCCUAGAACCUGCAAUCCUUUUCCCUUUAGAUUUUGGUGAACCCUAGUCAUUUUCCUUCAUGAAUUGUGCCAAAUACACAUUGCUUUCCUUCAGAAAUUCGUGGGUUUCCCUAGCCCUAUAAAUACAAACCUUUGUGCAGCAAUUAAAUGACCACCCUCUACCAUAAAUCACCUACAUCCAUCCACCACACCAUCCACCACAAUUCUUUUGUGCCGCAGCUAAGGAAGGAGAAGAAUGAGCCAUCUGGAGUGUUUCUAGGUGUAUUCUAUCUUUGUUUUCAAUGUUUAAUUCAAGUUAUCUUUGUUUAAUUGCGAACAUGAGUAACUAAUUUCUUUAUAGUUAGAGGGGAAUUCGAAACCAUGAUUAUACUUGCAAUAUGAAUUGAUUACUUUCAAUUGUGAUUUGAUAAAUUGUGAAUGCAAUUCGCUUAACUGUUUUAUUCAAAACUUAUUCUUGUAUGUUGAUUAAUGUGGCCAACUUAGUUUGCAUGCAUGAAUUUGAUGCUAAUUAUAAGGGAUUUUUCACCUAAUCGUUAUGAACUUAUAUUCACAAGUAGUGAAGGUUGCUUGUCACGAUCAUGUUAAGUGAAUUCUUGGCAUAAGUUUCAUGCAAUUCAUAGUUACAAGUGCCUCGUCAAUGCUUAUGAUUAUCAUAGAACUUAAUGAUCUUUGCUCCUAUCUCUAUUAUGCAAUUCAUGUAGGGAACUUAUGGAGAAUAAUUUGGGUUGUUGUAUGCAAUCAUCCAAUUCAAUGAAAUUAGGAAAAUCUGAGGGUUAAUUAGUGCAAUUCACGGUUAAUCUGGGGCGUUAAGGUUCAUGGUUUAUUGAAAAGCAAUUGAGAUUGAUUUGUAUGCAAGUGUGUCAUGUGUGGAGAAGGACCUUCUAGCUAGACCAUCACCCAUCCAAUUUCCCAAUUUCGUCCAAAAUCUGUUUUAGUCUUUAAUUUGUUUGUUUUACUUUAUUUUCGUCCAAAACCCAAUCCCCCUUUACUUUGAAGUGUUAAAUUAGUUAAAAUCUAUUUUGGUUUGUGUUUUUAAGUGUCUUGAGUCAAGCUUAAACCAAUUUUCGUCCAAAUAACUCCCUAGAGUCAGUUUUGAGUCUAUUUGGUUGUUUUGUGCUGUUUUGAGUCUUUUAAGUUUGUUUUGAGUCUUGUGAGUCUUGUUAAGUGUUUUUAAGUUUAUUUUUGUGCUUUUAAGUCAGUUUCAAUUAGAUUAGCAAUCCCUCCUAAUCCCCGGUCCAGAACGAUCCCUACUUAUACAUAUACUACAAUUGUCAAAAGAGGGUUUAAUUUGUGUGUUAGUUUAUAACGCAUCAAUCACUAAUUAACCCUCAGAUUUUCCUUUUGUUAUUGGAUUGGAUGACAUCAUUCAACAACCCAAAGCAUUCUUCAAAAGUCCCUUACAUGCACAUCAUAAUAGAGAUACAAUCAAAGAUCAUUAAGUUCUAUGAAAAUCAUAAGCAUUGACAAAGCAUUCGUAACUAUGACACCAUGAUACUCAUGCUAGGAAUUUAACUUAACGCGAUCGUGACCAGCAACCUUCACUACUUGUGAAAAUAAGUUUGUAACGAUUAUGUGAAACUCCCUUAUAUUCUAGCAUCAGAUUCAAGCAUGCUAACUAAGUAGGCCUCCUUAAUCAACAUACAAGAAUAAGUUUUGAAUAAAACAGUUAAGCAAAUUGCAUCCACACUUUAUGAAAACACAACUGGAAUUAAUCAAUUCAUAGUGCAAAUAUGAUCAUGGUUUCGAAAUUCCCCCUAGCUAAAAGGGGUUUAGUUCCUCAUGUUCACAAAACAAAGAUAAACAAACUUAAACAUUGAAAUUAAAAGAUAGAUUACACCUAAGAAUGAUCCAGCAAUCUAAACUUGAAUAGCAAGCACUCCAAGGGUCCUCUUUCUUCUCUUUGUUGCGGCACAAGGGUUGGGUAAAGGUUUGAGUGGUGGUUUGUGAUGCGAAAUAUAUUAAGCACACAAAUUAAACCCUCUUUUGUCAAAUUUUAGUAAAUAUGUAAGUAGGGAUCGUUCUAAACCGGGGAUUAGGAGGGAUUGCUAAUCUCUUGAAAACUGACUCGAUAAUGUAAAAACAAAGUUUAAAACACUAAACUAGACUCAAAGAAUGUAAAAUUAAAAGUUAAAACACCAAAACAAAGCAAAGGAACCAAAACAGCAAAUAAACACUCAAAACUGCCUUAGAAGCACAAUCUGGGCAGUUUUGAGUACUAACACAAAUUUGGACGAAUUUAUGUUAUAACCUGACUCAAAACACUAGAAAACAUAAACUAACACACUUUCUAACUAAUCUAGGACUCUAAAAUAAAGGGGGAUUUUGUUUUGACGAAAAUUAAAAUAAAGAAAACAGAUUGGAAAUAGGGCAGAUUGUAAAAACGAUUUUGGUGAAAUAGAUGGGUAGAAGGCUAGUUAGGAGGUUCUUCUCCACACAUGACACACUUGCAAACAAAACGAUUUUCAGUUGUUCUUCCAAUAAAUUAUGAAACUCAACACCCCAAGUUAAUUAGAUACGCUUAAAUUAACCUUCAAGUUCUCCUUAAGUUAAUGAAUCGGAUGGGAAAGCGCAUACAACAAUUCAAAGCAUUCCUCAAAGGUUCCUUACGUGAUGAGCACAAUAAAGAUAUAAUCAAGAAUCAUGGAGCACAAUGAGAACUAUAAGUGUUGACGAGGCAUUCGUUACUAUGAUGAGCAUGAAACUAGUGCCAAGAAUUCAUUCAACGCGAUCGUUUUCAAGCGACCUUCACUACUUGUGAUUAUAAGAUUGUAACUAUUAGGUGAAACUCCCUUAUAAUCUAGCGUCAUAUUCAUGCAUGAAAACUAAGCGUGCACUCUCAAUCAACAUACACAAAUAAGUUAUCAAUCAAGUAGA
rnacentral:lncRNA from 1 species